rnacentral:rRNA from 1 species
CAGUCGAACGAAGCACUCUAUUUGAUUUUCUUCGGAGAUGAAGAUUUUGUGACUCCCUUUAGGACGGGUGAGUAACGCGUGGGUAACCUGCCUCAUACAGGGGGAUAACAGUUGGAAACGACUGCUAAUACCGCAUAAGCGCACAGGAUUGCAUGAUCCGGUGUGAAAAACUCCGGUGGUAUGAGAUGGACCCGCGUCUGAUUAGCCAGUUGGCAGGGUAACGGCCUACCAAAGCGACGAUCAGUAGCCGACCUGAGAGGGUGACCGGCCACAUUGGGACUGAGACACGGCCCAAACUCCUACGGGAGGCAGCAGUGGGGAAUAUUGCACAAUGGGGGAAACCCUGAUGCAGCGACGCCGCGUGAGCGAAGAAGUCUUUCGGUAUGUAAAGCUCUAUCAGCAGGGAAGAAGAAUGACGGUACCUGACUAAGAAGCACCGGCUAAAUACGUGCCAGCAGCCGCGGUAAUACGUAUGGUGCAAGCGUUAUCCGGAUUUACUGGGUGUAAAGGGAGCGCAGACGGUGUGGCAAGUCUGAUGUGAAAGGCAUGGGCUCAACCUGUGGACUGCAUUGGAAACUGUCAUACUUGAGUGCCGGAGGGGUAAGCGGAAUUCCUAGUGUAGCGGUGAAAUGCGUAGAUAUUAGGAGGAACACCAGUGGCGAAGGCGGCUUACUGGACG